AGGGGGCGUUCCGCAGCCGAUACUGAGCCGUGAACAUAAAAUACCAGGAAAUGUUCUUUAAACAGCUCAGCACAGUCACUGCUCCCAGAACCACAGCCGCCGUUUUCUCACUGCAAUAUUUACUUUUCAGCUUCUGGCAACAAAUGGCCACAAACCGAUCAAAGGUGAAAGUGACGGUGAACCAGACAGAGCAGUCAGUGGCUGCAUAAAGCAGGACGGCGUGGAUAUUACACACGGGGACGGAGUCCCUCAGGAAAUAAAACUGUUCCUUAUAAACAAUGGGAAUGUGUCUCAGGAUCAGGUCGAGGAUAAUGACCAGGAGAUCCGCCGCUGCCAUGGCCCCCAGAUCUCCCGUUAUGCUGAUGGAGUAGAGAAGGACAAUGAUCUUCCAACAAUGUUCCGUAUUCCCCCAGAGAGCUGAGACUGCUCUAACCUGGGUGGGAACUUUACAGCAGGUUGAUAAAGUGUUGCAGCUUCUGUACAGGAAGAUCACAUCUGGAGUAGUGUGUACAGAUUUAGCCUCUUCUCUGAAGAAAGGAUGUUGUUAUAUUGGAAGCAGCUCAGAGAUGGUUCCCUCAAAUGAUUCCUGCAAUGAAGGUGCUAGCUUAUAACGAAAGGAUGAUCAGGUUGACCCAGUAGCCGUUGGAGUUUACAAAAAAUAAAGAUGAUCUUAUUUGAACAAAUUUGACAGAAGGAGUUAACAAGUGAAGGGAAUUACACAGAUAGUGGAGGAAUCCAUUCCGUUCUCCAGCCUGUUACACAGGAACAACAGGAUGAUAUUCAGGACUUCGACACUGAUACACCAAAAUAGGACGAGGCUAUUCAGCCCCUGGAGCCUGAUAUACAUUUAGAGAAGGAGGCCAAUCAGCCCCUCGAGCCUAUAACAGUAGACCAUGCUGCAAAAAUGGUCAAACGGUAGGGUUUGGGGCCUAGCUUUGCUGCUCCUCUCCCUUGUAAAAUUGCUGUAUUCUUUACAGCUGUAAAUGUUUAUUGUAAACUGUUUUGUAAUUUGUUUAAUAAAAUAAAAAAAAAUAGACCAUG